UACAGAGGGGGCGAGCGUUGUUCGGAAUUACUGGGCGUAAAGGGCGCGUAGGCGGCCCGCUAAGUCGAACGUGAAAUCCCCAGGCUCAACCUGGGAACUGCGUCCGAUACUGGCAGGCUUGAAUCCGGGAGAGGAUGGUGGAACUCCCAGUGUAGAGGUGAAAUUCGUAGAUAUUGGGAAGAACACCCGUGGCGAAGGCGGCCAUCUGGACCGGUACUGACGCUAAGGCGCGACAGCGUGGGGAGCAAACAGG
rnacentral:rRNA from 1 species